UACGUAGGGAGCAAGCGUUGUCCGGAAUCAUUGGGCGUAAAGCGCGCGUAGGUGGCUUCGUAAGUCCGUUGUGAAAGUCAAAGGCUCAACCUUUGAAAGCCGAUGGAUACUGCGGAGCUAGAGUACGGAAGAGGCGAGUGGAAUUCCUGGUGUAGCGGUGGAAUGCGCAGAUAUCAGGAGGAACACCAAUAGCGAAGGCAGCUCGCUGGGACGUUACUGACACUGAGGCGCGAAAGCGUGGGGAGCGAACAGGG
rnacentral:rRNA from 1 species